rnacentral:rRNA from 1 species
CGGAUCCCAUCAGAACUCCGCAGUUAAGCCUGCUAGGGCGUGAGUAGUACUAGGAUGGGUGACCUCCUUGGAAGUCCUCGUUUUGCACCCC